AUUGAACGCUGGCGGCAGGCCUAACACAUGCAAGUCGAGCGGAUGAAGGGAGCUUGCUCCUGGAUUCAGCGGCGGACGGGUGAGUAAUGCCUAGGAAUCUGCCUGGUAGUGGGGGAUAACGUCCGGAAACGGGCGCUAAUACCGCAUACGUCCUGAGGGAGAAAGUGGGGGAUCUUCGGACCUCACGCUAUCAGAUGAGCCUAGGUCGGAUUAGCUAGUUGGUGGGGUAAAGGCCUACCAAGGCGACGAUCCGUAACUGGUCUGAGAGGAUGAUCAGUCACACUGGAACUGAGACACGGUCCAGACUCCUACGGGAGGCAGCAGUGGGGAAUAUUGGACAAUGGGCGAAAGCCUGAUCCAGCCAUGCCGCGUGUGUGAAGAAGGUCUUCGGAUUGUAAAGCACUUUAAGUUGGGAGGAAAGGCAGUAAGUUAAUACCUUGCUGUUUUGACGUUACCAACAGAAUAAGCACCGGCUAACUUC
rnacentral:rRNA from 1 species